UAUGCUACGUAAGUUUCUACGUAAGGUGCUCGGUAUUUCACUUAGGCUACGUAAGUCUCUACGUAAGGUGCUCGGUAUAGAUCUACCAACGGUUGGUAGCCGCGUGCUGUGCACGUGCACGGCAGACAUUGUGUUGCAUGCAGUGCAUGCAGUCCGUGUUCGGAUGUGCAUGCGCGAGGAACUUCCUCCUUUGGAACUGCUUCUUGUAUGAGCUGUUUCGGAUAUUUCGUCUCCUAGAUCCUGGCCUGGCUUAUUUCGUUUCGGCGCUGCUGAGACCUCCUUUCGCGGAAUAUUACUCAAUAUCGACAGUGUGCGAAGAACGCGAGUUCACCUUCUUGACGAAAAUCGUGGACUAACAGUUCGAAGUCAUUGAACUACUUCCAAAAGUUGUAUCGACAUCAACAGGGUUACGAUUUCAGUGCAAUAUGGUGCAGGAUGACCUUAUCACGAUAACCCAUGAUUAUAAACCAUUAUAAACACAGAAUCAACAAAAACAUCUGCGACACGCACCUGGUUACAUUUCUCAAAUAAAUCUGAUCGAGGGUGGGGAGAUCUGAAAUAUCUGAAAGGCAAGACAAUUUUAUGACAGAGUCAUGAAAUUCUGCUACAGCAACAUGCACAGAAUGACCUCCGUAUAAAAAAGGUAUCACCACGGUCCACCACUACUCACAUGUAUCCCCGCAGAAGAACAUGCUAGUCCCAUUUUCUGCAAGAAAAGGCUUGCACAUCAAUGCGUAUAAUACGGUAUUGAUAU